AUGCAAGUGUACAACAACUUUCUAAGGAGGCAUCAGGGCAAAGCACAGGCUGGCCGUUCCCUAGAGGAUGGGGAGCCCAGGGGGAUAACAGGGCUGGCAGUGGCUCCACCAGCACCCACCCCAAAGUACCCAAGAGGGGGUGACUCAGAGACAGUGGACAGCUUUAACCAGGAGUCCAGAUCAUUAGAGAAGCCUAUGAUGUUCAGGCAGGUCAGAGGUCAUGCUACAAAGUCAAACUGGAGGUCAGGAUCAGGUCCAUUGGUGGUGAAGCAGGACCAUGGCGGCAAGACAGGUCUAAAACCAAGUUGGGAAGUCAGCAUGAAGGGAGAGGUAGAAAAAGGAAGAAAAGACACUGGAAGAAAUAAUCUAUCUGCUAGAAGAGAUGAAGAAGCAGAAACCAGUUGCAAAAUAGCUGCCUUAAGCAAAUCUCUUCUGUAUAUGUUACUGGAUUUAAAGGACCAGUCAAAAAAGAUUCUGCCUGCUGUUACUCCUUUCUCUAGUUUCUGGUGUUCCUUAAGAAGCAAAGUUCAGAACUCUGAAGCUUAGAAAGGAGGCAAUGUCAGCAGCUUCUGUGAGACAGUAUAAUCUUUCAGGAAAGAAACGUUCACACUUCUUCCAAAGAUUGCUGAAAAUGUCUUUGUUCAGUUCCCUGUUUUUCCUAGUGUGGUAGAAAACUUUAAUGGGUUGAUGGGAUGAGAAUCGAAGCAGGACAUUUUAUUUCUAUUCCCAAUUCUCUUUGGCUUUUGUUUGUUUAUAAGUAUGUGCUUUCUGUUGCCUUUUAUUUUAUUUUUUAAUCAAAUAAACAUUGCAGAAUGCUAAUACUUGAGAAAAAU
rnacentral:lncRNA from 1 species